UUUUCUGCCUUUUGAACUGCAACACAGUGGAGGGAAACCUGGGAUGCAUGGGAAGCCAGGACAGGUGAUCCUAAGUGACCAAAGGAAUAUUCCAGACCAUACAGCAUCAUGCUCAGCACAUAAAGUGAAGGUUUGCUACUAUAUGGUUCUUCUGAAGUGUUAGUGGUGCACUGGAGCUGAGUACCAUAUACACCAAGUCUGAUGCUUAGUCCCUGAACAUGGCUGGAGAAUUGGUCAGCACACACUGAAGACACAACUGCUGCAGAUGGGGUGCGAAGAACUUCUGGAUGUACGGCAGCAAGGGUUGCUGCAGCAGGGCUUGUAGAAAGGCUCGUCAAAAUCUUCAAAUUCUGCCCCAGCUCAACUACUGCAUGGAGAAAGAGGGCAUGCCUGGGGAUCCUGGGCUUGUGGCAGAGCUGUCUGUGUUUGCUAUACUGCCAGUGGCAGAAAUGCUCUUUCUGGGCUCCUUGCUCCUAAGCCAGCGCUGUAGCCUGACAGCAAGGAAGGACAACAGACACCUAGGUGGUACAAGAAGAAACACAGCCAGGAGAUCAAAGGAUUCUUCUACUGAUAGAAGGAUCCCCUUCUAUUCACCGGUCCUUAGACUGUAUCUAGACUACAGUGCAAGCUUAGUAUCCACCAGGAAAGAUAUCAAAAAACCAGAAUGAGUUGAGCACAGGGUCACUGCAGUGGCUGAGGGCUAGAGCACCUGAGGUACUGAGGUGUGUUCAGCUUGGAGUAAAAACAGCUUGUGGGUGGAACACUUCCAAGCAGCCUCCCAGUACCUACAAGUUAUCAAUAAGGUGAUACUCUUCAGUGGUGUGUGGUGGGAGGAGGAAAGACAGUGGAUAAAAGUGAAAAGAAAGAUGUUCAAGACUGGAUUAUAAGGGAAGUGUCUUCCCUGCCAUGAGGAGAGGUAAUUAGUGAAGCAGGUUCAUCCAGA